rnacentral:rRNA from 1 species
GACGAACGCUGGCGGCGGGCUUAACACAUGCAAGUCGAAGGGAAAGGCCCUGCUGUGGUGGGGUGCUCGAGAGGCGAACGGGUGAGUAACACGUGAGUAACCUGCCCGUGACUUUGGGAUAACUUCAGGAAACUGGGGCUAAUACCGGAUAGGAGCUCCUGCCGCAUGGUGGGGGUUGGAAAGGUUGGGCGGGUGGGGAUGGACUCGCGGCAUAUCAGCUUGUUGGUGUGGUAGUGGCUUACCAAGGCUUUGACGGGUAGCCGGCCUGAGAGGGGUACCGGCCACAUUGGGACUGACCUACGGCCCAGAGUCCUACGGGAGGCAGCAGUGGGGACUAUUGCACGAUGGGCGGAAGCCUGAUGCAGCAACGCCGCGUGCGGGAUGGCGGCCUUCGGUUUGUAGACCGCUUUCGCCUGUGCCGAAGCGUUAGUGACGGUAAUGUGUAAAGAAGCACCGGCUAACUACGUG